UACGGGGGGGGCAAGCGUUGUUCGGAAUUACUGGGCGUAAAGGGCUCGUAGGCGGCCAACUAAGUCGGCCGUGAAAUCCCUCGGCUUAACCGGGGAACUGCAUCUGAUACUGGAUGGCUUGAGUUCGGGAGAGGGAUGCGGAAUUCCAGGUGUAGCGGUGAAAUGCGUAGAUAUCCGGAGGAACACCGGUGGCGAAGGCGGCUUCCUGGACCGACACUGACGCUGAGGCGCGAAAGCUAGGGGAGCAAACGGG
rnacentral:rRNA from 1 species